GCAGACUUUAUCUUUGCCUCCUGCUUCUCCCCGUGAAUCCCAAACAUCUUCAACUACGAAUGGAGCACAACAGCCUCGUGGUCCACUUCAGCACACUCAAUCUAUGUCUGGAUUGAAGGAGAUAAAUGACAGUGGAACACAUUCCGGAGAAACCACGGGAA